ensembl:lncRNA
UGUGCAUAGGAGGCAAAAUUUUCAUCUUUAUUUGUCUGAUAGUAUUCUAAUUCCUCCCUCACAUCAGGCUGUUGGUUGAACUGGAUAUAGAAUUCCAGCUUUCUCAGGAUUCUGAGCCAGGGGAGUUUCAGCCCUUCCUGGGAGACCUCUCAGAUCACAUGAGAAGCAGAGGCCGCAGGGCUGGAGGCAGAUUCCCUGGGCAGGCGGAUUCCCCGCACCCCUGCCUGAUCAGGUGAGGGCACUGGACCCAGAUUUGCACCAGUACACGAGUUUGCUUCCUAUCACAUCUGCCCUCUCUCAGGACGGGAAAGUCAUGGGCACAUCUUAAUCAAGUCCAGAAAGCGCCACACUGGAGGUUUCCAGUUCUCUGAUCACCCUCUUCACAGGUUGAGAGGCAGAUUCCAUGAGAUGAGUACCAAGUAGCCACUGGAGGAGGUGUGGCAGAGCUCUGGCCCAUCUCCAAUGCAGGCAAGCACAGCAAGGCUUGACAGAAACAUCGACAGGUACACAAGAGUAGGACACAGCAGCAAAACAUCAACAAGGCAGAGAGGCUGGGAAGGGAGGCACAGCGAAACAAGUUAGUCAGCAUAUUUGUCAGAUGGAUAAGGGAAGGGCUCUUAGGAAAGACAAAUGCAAGUAUUGAUGAUGUUAUUCCAGAAGAGACUGCAAAAAAGGCUUCCUCUCUGGUCCAAUUCAUCACCCCCAGUGACUAUCCCUGUAACCAUCAUCAUCCCAUCACCAUUAUCCCAUCAUCACCAUCAUCUUUAAUACAAAUAAACAAUGAAUGGGGCUUCCCUGGUGGCUUAGUGAUAAAGAACUCACCUGCCAAUGCAGGAGACAUGGGUUCGAUCCCCAACUCUGGGAAGAUCCCACAUGUUGUGGGGAAACUAAGCCCAUGGACCACAGCUACUAAGUCUACAUGCCACAGCUGCUGAAGCCCACACGCCCUGGAGCCCGUACUCCACAACAAGAGAAGCCAUCACAAUGAGCGUGCUGCAACUAAAGAGUCGCCCCCACUCGCCACAACUACAGAAAAAUCUGAACAAUGAAAACCCAGCACAGCCAAAAACAAAUAAAUAAAAAAUAACUGAAUGAGUGGUGGCCUGUACACUGCUGAUCACACCCAACAUGAUCAUCCGUGUCAGGAUUAUCACAGCAUCCCCACUGGCACCAUCAUCAGCACCGCAACCCUUGGAUAAAAAAUGUCAAUGUACCCAUCGUGCUGUGGUACUCUGCAAAAAGAGCAAGAAAAAACUGACCCAGGCCAGUCCUCUAGGACUGCACGAUCACUAUUGUUACUAUUAGCUAAAAUGAAUCUGAUGUUUACCAUGUCCCAGACACUGUGUAAGGAUUAAACCUUACAAAACCCUAUGAGGUAUUAAUGCCUCAUCCUACUGAGAAGAUAGAUUUAGAGAGAUUAAGUGAUGUGUCCAAGAUCCCAUGUCUAAGGAGUGGUGGAGCCACUGGAUUUGGCCCUGAAUAUGAACCCAGGGUUUCCAGCUUUACCACCCUAUGCUGUAUAUUGCCUCCCACAGCCUUCCCAGCGGUCUUCACAUUGGGGUACCUACAAAAAAUACCCACCGAGAGUGGCAGAAAAACGUUAGACCUGCUAUUCAUUUUUAGUUGUCAUUUCAUCAUUUAGUUUCUAUUUUAUAUGUGUUCCAUAACAUACUUAAUUUACCAC